rnacentral:rRNA from 1 species
UACGGGGGGAGCAAGCGUUGUUCGGAUUUACUGGGCGUAAAGAGCGUGUAGGCGGUCCGGUAAGUCCGCUGUGAAAGUCGGGGGCUCAACCCUCGAAUGCCGGUGGAUACUGUCGGGCUAGAGUGCGGAAGAGGCGAGUGGAAUUCCUGGUGUAGCGGUGAAAUGCGUAGAUAUGCGGAGGAACACCGAUGGCGAAGGCAAUCCCCUGGGCCUGCACUGACGCUCAUGCACGAAAGCGUGGGGAGCAAACAGG